GCACUUGCAAAGCCAAAGUGAGCUCUACACUCCUCUUCCCACUGACUCCUUGGGGUCCCUUUACAUCCACUGCAGUGGCCCUGCAAAGAUCAUCAAGCACAACAAUUUCCACAAGGCUGCUGGAUGGAAUCUGCCGCAGGUUGUCAAGGCCAUGGAAAAGCCUUGUGAUUGUGACAGGCAUGAGACUACUCAGUGUAGCGAGGGAAGUUGUUCAGGAGAGUGUUCACUGCCCUACUGACUGAGGCAUUUGUCUUUCUUGGUGCCUGGGCUUUGCAGGAGCCCCAAGAGCACACAGCCCUGAGCUCUCCCCCUGCCCAGGCAGAGCCACAACUCUCACAAUCCCCACGUUACCCUGUGAGCUGGAACUGGGCAGGCACUGCCACAUGCAACCUCUGUGCCGGGCAAAAAACAGGCACAGGCUCAGGCUUCUGCAAAGAUAAUCACAGGAACAGUCUGGUCUGAAACUGCUGCACAUUUUCAUUUCAAUAUUGGGUGAAAGGAAAGAGACAACAGUUCUCUGUGAAGUCAGAAUUGAGCCUCUGCAUCUCUGCCCAGAGCCACCUGGCUCCCCAUCAACUCCAGGUCCCACAGGCUGGAGGAGUGCUGGCCUCUGCACGAGGCAGGGCUGAGAAAUAGAACUAUUUGCAACUGAUAGGAAAUCUUAGCCCAGUAAGAAGCAAUUCAUAGCUUCUGCACCAAAGAAGAUCACAGGGAAGUGCAGUGAUGCAGUUCCUCAUCUCAGCCUGCAGCAAUGGUUUGAGGUAAAGAAGUCUGACUUGGAAAGGACCCCCAGGACAUGGCUGGCAAAGGCUGGGCUCUCUGUGUGGCACUUGGAGACAGCAGCUCUCCUGGAAAGAACUGCAGCCCCGGGACAGCAGCUCCUCUCUCCAGCCCUGCCAUCCGCCUUUCUCCUUCCCUUAUUGUCAAAAUUGAUGAAGGGAGAGGCGACAAGCUGGAAAGGCAUGGCCAAGACUCAGAGCGAGCAUUCAAAGCACCCCUGCUGUGCUCCAAAGUGCUGUUAUGGCUGCUCCCUGUGUGCAGGGAA